UAAUUUAUAUUUUAAUUAAGAUUAUUAGAAAUUUAUUUUUUAGUUAUGAUUGGGGUGAUUUUUAAAGAUUAUUAAUCUUUAAAAUUUUUUAAUAAAAAAGUUCCAUUAGUACACGUUUUUUGAUAAAAAUACUCUAGGGAUAACAGCGUUAUUAUUUUGGAUAGUUCAUAUAGAUAAAAUAGUUUGCGACCUCGAUGUUGGAUCUAGAGAUUCUUUUAUGGAUGAAGAAGUUAUAAGGGAGAAGUUUGCUCAACUUUUAAAGUCCUACUUGAUCUGAGUUCAGACCGGG
rnacentral:rRNA from 1 species